GAAAAUGUUGCUUGACAGCUGUAUUUUAUAUUCUGUUGUACUCUUGGAAACUACAUUUGCUAAGAAGGUUGGAAGGGAGAGGUUUUUAUAAGAUAGCUUGAUAAAGUUAGAUGAUUAGAGGAGGAUUCUGGCAUGCCAGCAUUAUUUCUAACAGCUGCUGUGUUUUCCUUCAAGACUGAAACUGUGCUUGAGAUACUCUCAUUUUUAUUGUUUCCCAAGCUUUAUUAACUGUUCUGUAAAAAGACCUUGUUUUUCUUUCAUUUUUAGAAGUGCAUACUUCAUUUUUCCAGUAUGCACAAGUAAAACCUGCAGAUUCUCUUUUCCACUUUCUCUGCUUAUCCAGUGUCUCCUCACGCAGCUGAUUUGAGCUUCUCUGAAAUUUAGGAACAAAAGGCCAUUAUGGAUUAAAGUAGAUUCUUCCUAAUGUGACUGAUGAUAUCUGUACUACAAAAGGAUUUGAGACUGCAUUACAGCUGGUGUUUCAAGUGCCUGCCUCUUCUCUCAUUUUCUGUGACACCCAGCUGAGUUUCUGAAAUACUUUGACUUGUAAAUUAUUCCUGCUUAUUAGAAGCCGUUCCUACCACACAUCUGAGAAACAGAGAUACUAGAAGGAUGCAAAUGACGAGAGAUGUGCCAAAAAGCAUGAAUAUCUGUUCCAGCAAAUGGAUACUUGGUACCAUGGUAGGAAUCACAUGUCCUCUUAACCCACAGGUCCUCUUAACAUCAUUUCUGGACUUCAGUUGUUUUAGAUGUCUUUGAUACAUGACAGCAUGUAUCUGAAUAUAGUAAGGUUUCCCGUAAGGUUGACUUUCUGUUUCAGCACACAAACACAUUGGUGAGAUCACUUCCCAUGCUUGGAGAUAGGUCAAAACUACAUUUGUGGACUGAUACUACAUUGAUUCAAAUUAGAAAAAAAUACAUACAUUGUGUCUCAUUGUAUACAAAGCAAAGGCAAUGAAAGAUUAUAUUUAAAAGCUGUAGACUAAUCAAAUAACAACAUCAUAUAUCUUCUCUUGAAGUUAACCUCAAACAAAGGGUAUUUUUAAUUAUUUAGGCAAAAUCUAAACCAGAAGCAUAAGAAGGGCACUUGGUAAUUUAUUUUCUGUCCACACAGCUGUCUUUUGUAAGUUGUUUUUUUUAUUUGCACAGAAGAAUCUCUAAAGGAAUAACCUCUCCCCUCUCUAAACUGCAGUGUAUUGCUUGUAUAAUAAUGUUAACUAUUUUUUCCUCUUCACAGAUAAUUUUCUGGGGAAAAUAAAUAAAUAAAUAAAUAAAAGAGGUAAUCAAUACAGAAAAAUGGUAAAAACAAUUCCACCUAAAAUUAAAAUUAGGAAUACAUCAUUUAGUAAGUAGUAACUAUAUAUUAUAGACAUGGGUCUAUGGUAAGUGAGUAACUUUAUACCUCUAAUCAUAGAACUGUUUGAGUUGGAAGGGACCCUUAUAGGCCAUGUAGCUCCACUCCCCUGCAAUGAGCAGGGACACCUACAGAUAGAUCAGGUUGCUCAGAGCCUCGUCCAGAGGCCUUGAAUAUCUCCAGGGACAGAGCUUUCACCACCUCUCUGGGCAACCUGUUCCAGUGCCUUACCAUCCUUUCAGACUUCGACUGUUAGACUGCUGGGUUUCACAUCAUAAAGACUCUAAAAAUAAUUAUUUCAGAUAUGUAGGAUUUGAUUACAGUUGUGCUUUAUUUUUCCCUUCCUUUUUACAGGUUGUGAAGGCAGGGCAGAAGUAGUAUUGUUGACCUAAAUUCUCUGCCUUAUGACAGAAAAAUAUUGUUUCAUAAAUCCAUUAAUUUCUUUUUGUCCUUUGUGACCUUAAAGUUGUCCCAUUAGUGUCUGCAUCUGUCUGAAAGCCAUUUAAGGACACCAACAAGGAAAGGUGAAUAGCAACUGAGAACAAGGGAUAAAAAUAGAGAUCAGUAUUUUCUAAUGAAACCAUAAAAUCUAUCUAGGAUGUGUUUGUGCCAGUCCAUUUUCUUAACUGUAUAUUCGUUAGUACAGAGCAGAAUAUUUUCUUAAUCCAUGAAGUCUUUGUAUGUAAAAAAUAAAUAUUUUGUAUACAGACAUAAACAAAUUUCACCUUGCCACAAGGAAUAUCAUAGUUAAACAUAAAACACUGCUGACUCACUUUUGGGGGUUUUAUUAAAGCAGCUGGAAAUGGUAGGCAUAUUGCAAAACCACUGUGUAAACACAGGCUCCCAAAGCACAUCAUCUUUGCAUAGUGUCAAUGACAUCCAAGUGCAAUUUGAUGGUGGCUGGUCAAAUUUCUGUUCUACUUAGAGGACUGUUUGUUCCAGAUCUUGUACUAUAUAGACAGAGAGGAUGCAAGCCAGUAAAUUAUAUUUGGCCUGGGGUCUAGGGCCUUGCUCUCUGGCAAGGUGAUAAGUGCAGUUUCAUCAUGAUUUAGGAACAUGUAAAUACAUUCCAGAGACAGAUGGAUACUUAGUUAUAUGUUAUCUCUAAAAUACAUUCAAUUAACUUUGAGAAUGUGGGAAUUUUAGCACAUAUAACUCACAUGCUGUAAAGUCAGAGUAGAAAAAAGAAAAAAAAACAACAACAUGAAUAGAAAAAUAAUAAUUUUUAAAAGUUUUCUUUAUAUUCCUUAAGAAAUGAUUUCACAGCAUUUACCAGAAUAUGGAAAAUUUGAGUUCUAACUUUAUUUUGGGAUAACAAGGAAUUUAAAUAAGAAUACAAUGUAUGUCUUAUCAAUACAUAAAUAUUUCACUGUUUCAGUACUAGAUGCAAAUUCAACUAUUUUUAUUUAUGAAGGUGAAAAAGUUAUUAAAAAAAAAAAAAGCAUUUUUCUAUUCAUUCUCUUCCUAAAGAGCCUUUGAAGAAAUUUGUGUCUAAAACAUGAAAAAAUAAUGUCUAUUCCACUAGGUGAUUAAACACUAAAAGAGGUUCUGAUAGGCUGUGGUAUCUCCCACUGCUUCACCAAAUAUAUGCAAGCACAGCCCUGGCCAGUAUGAAAAAAAAAACUGAUUUUAUUUUAAGGAGGCUCAAGAGCCUGCCAGGUUCUGAUACAAAGACUGUGUAUCAGAAUCCCAGAAGCUUCCUACUGUAGCUUCCCAGUACGCGUACAGCAAGCAAUUUUGAAUUGUCUUAUUUGUUAAUAUCUCACUUCAUUAUGUACUCUUUUUUCUUCAUCUUUUCUAUGUGAGAAAACAUAGUUGAAUAACUCAGUGAAAUUGAAAGGUUGAAAAAUGUGUUUACAAUGCUGCAAAACAACAUUCUGACCUCAAAAUCAUUAGUUUUUCAGAACUUUAAAUCAAAAACAUCUCCAUAUUUUUUCUUACCAUCUUUUCUUAGCAAGUCUUAGCAUUCAUUUGUUGUUGUUAGAUCAGAAAUUAUCUCUUACUGUUUCUUUGGUGUAUUGCAGUAAUUUUUUUUUUUAUUUUUUUUUCAGGGAGUAGUUCUACAUCAUUUGCUUCAAAGCAAUUUUUCUUAGUUACACAAAAACAUUAUUCCAAAACAAAAUUUCAAAUCCAUAGUAACAUUAUUUACACAUAAAAUAUGCAAGCAGUAAUAUUUGUUCAUGAGAGGUAAUCACCCAUAAUUGAUUACACAGCAAAUAAAAAAUCAGCAUUUUCAAUAACCAGAAGUUGUUUAUUAUGAAUACACAUUAUAUUUAGUCUGUAUGACUAUUAUUUCAGUUACAUAAGUAAGGAAGAUUAAUUUAUUGGGUAGUGCAAAAAAAAGAUACAAUUUGUUCUUUCCUUGCUUUGAAACAAAGUGUUCCGAGCUCCUCCUGUUUGCUCUGACUUUUCCUUGUAACGUUCUUUCCUGCAGGGUUUGAGGUGGGUAGUUGAAGGACAGACUUAGAAGGUUGGAAUAAUGAUUACUUCUGGAAGGUUUGUUUUCUGAGAAAAUACUGAACUUUCUGAAAUGAUUGAAGUUAUUCUUCUGUAACACAUUCAAAGUAAUUUUACAAGGCCAGUUUUGGAGUAGCCAACUGCAACUAAGCUUGUCCUAUGCCAUAUAUAAAACCUCAGUUUUUGAUUCAUAUAUCCUGUUUUGCUAAAGUUGUAUUUCACUCUGGUUUCAUUUUAGGUGAAGAUACAAACACAGAACCCCAUUUCUCUACUAUCAAAAUUGGAGGAGAUGGUGUGUUUUGUAAAAUUAGCAGGAAUAAAGUGCAACUGAAUUGUGUAUAUGCACUUCUGAUAUUCACCUAAUUGAAGCUGUAACAGUAGAGUUAAUUAAAAUUGUAAGCUGCAGGUACUCAGAGCCUCAACUAGCAGAUAAAAAUGUGAUUAGCAUCAUAUAAAGGCAAAUUGGAUUAAUUCCUCUUGGGGUAUGACGUACCCAGCAGACACCACAUUACAGUCUUCAGCACAUUGACUGUUGCACUGUAUGAGGCAUCCCUGCAGUGAGGGAAGGUUUGACAAAGGACAACAAAGCCACAGGGAACCUUAUUCUAGAUUUGACAAUCAGAAAAUGCUCAUGGUGAAAAACUGUUUACAAAUUCUUUUAUGCCUAUGACAAGAAAGAGGGCUGAUAUUUUCCUCUGAAGGUAGAACUAUUACAGGAAAAAAAAAAAUGAUGAGGAAAAGUGGACAGUGUAUUACUUUUUUUUGCAGAAGCUCUGUUUAACCCAGUAUUGAAAAAAAAAAUUCAACAAUGUGGACGCUGACAGCAAUUAUCUAGUCCUAUCUACUAAUUACAUUUUGGUUUCUAUGAUGUUGGAAACAUAGAUGACAUAAUUUAGGCCUUAACAGCACAGAAUCUACUGGAUAAAUCCUUGCCUGUGGAAAGAAAUACAUCAACUUGGACUGGUAAGACAUCUAUCCCACCAUAAUGCUGUGACCUAGUUCUGUGCCUAUCUGAACCUUCGAAGGGCCUCCAGUAUUUCCAGUUUGUGAACUGCCUUAGAUCAUCAUUAUCUUCCAGAUUGCUAAAGCUUGAGGUGUCUGUCUUUUGCCUCUUAGCUGCACAAGAUUUUGAGCUGGAAAAGCUGGCCUCUCAACUGGUUGACACAUUAAUCUAACCAGGUGUGGGUCAAUAGCAAAUAUCUAAAGCCAAAUUCAAAAUUGACUUAGUGUAGCUCUAUUGUAACUUAGCUAAAUGUCCCACAGGUACUCUAUUUACAGAUGGUAGUAGAACAGGAUGUACAUCUUUGCAUCAGGGCUGAAAAAAAGACAAAAUGAAAGAGAAAAUGAAUAAGAAUAAUAAGAAAGUGAAAGGAACAUCUGGACAUCUCCGUCUCACACAUUGGUUGUAUUUGGAUACACUAUGCGUCACUACCAGUCCUAUUUAGAAACUUGUACAUUUCAAACACGCAGGAUUUCUGUACCAAUGGCUGAUUUAAUUUGGUAACACACAAGUGACUGAAGGAAAGUUUUAUUUUUAGUUUAAUAUUCUUCUGCCUCUGACAGAGUGUUCUGAAAUCGGAUGUCCACAGAUGUCAAAUAUACUGACUUGCCUGAUUUGUUAUCAUAAAAGCAUUUUGACUCAUACUGCCAUCAUUUUCUGGGGUUCUUCUAGCAAAUGUGAAAAUUAAUCAGUUGUAUGACAUGUAAGUCUAAUGGGUUUGAUAGUAUAGUCCUGCGUAGUAUUAUUGCUCUGUUGCUUUUCUGUCUGAUGCUCAGUUACUGUUUUAUUUCUAGUAUACGCUCAAUUUCCACAGAUAAUUCCUGGUGGGUGAAACUCCCAAAGAUGCAGUUAGUGUGCUAGCAAGGCUGCUCUGUAUCUCCUUUGAGAGGCUGUGGAGAUGAGAGGAGUCUCAAAGCAUGAAGAAAGGGAAAAUUGCACCCAACUUAAAAAAAAAAAAUAAAAAUAUGGAGAAUGGAAUUACUGAGUGUAAAUCAUGCAUGAUCUUGACUUUAAGCUAUUAAGCUGUUAUUAUUAUACAUAUUAAGCUAUGGCAUCAGACUAAUCAGACCAUUGGGAAGAGAACUUCACUGGAAACAUGUGAAUGACCUAUGACAGUUAAAUUGGAAGUUUUGGUUGCACUUUCUUUAGCCUAGUAUCUUUUUGACGUUUAGCAGUCACAUUCAUGUUUUGUGAUUUAGUGGAUAUCAAUGAAGUUAGUGCAGCCAUAAAAGAUUUUCCAAAGAAUGUAGGUGGGCUUCUUGUAUGCUAUUUGUUGACUAAAAAUUGAAGUACAGAGCUCUCAGCAAGAUUAGGUUGUUGUCAGUGUCUGAGAUGUCCAGCUUUGCAAUAUGUGCAGACCUCUACUCUACGGAAAAGUUAAAUGUAAAUAGACUGCUUUGUAGGUACAAUCUGACAUCACAGUGUGGUAAAAAUGAAGAUUAUGCAGCCAGCUCCAUAUAUUACUGUAAUAAAAAAGAUAAAUAAGUUAACUAAUACAAAAUUUCUUUUCUUUUUUUUCAUAUUUUUUCUAGGAUAGAAGAGAGUUUUAAUACGAUAGUGUAAAUGUAAGCAGAUGAGCACCCCCUGACACCGAGACAUUUCUGGAUCAAGAUGUGGAGAACUACUUUGCUUUUCUGUGAAAAUUCCACGUGCUUCAAGAAAAAUUCUAUGUCACAGAAUAAAAAAGUUAGAGCUUUCUGAUUGCUACCUCCUGCCAAUGACAUGAAUCUCUUGAAAAUCACUUUCCCUGCAGCUGUGAAACCUUGAACCAUUUUACCCGAUCAUGAUUAGUAGUUCCUGAGCAGAAGUGUUUGAGCAAGUCCUAACAGAACCACUUUUUGGUUUGGAACUGUUUCAAGGGAAGAGAAAAAUUGUACCGAUACCAUAUGAAAAGAAAAGGUCAUGGAAAGCAUGAGUGGAGGUUCUACAAGGGCAGGUGCAGACUCCUGCAUGUGGAUAGGAAUAACCACGUACAUCAGAACAGAUUAUGGGUCGACCUUCCAGCAAGGAGCUCUUUGGAGAAGGACUUAGGAACUCUGGCAGACAACUUGUGGACCAUGAGCCAGCAAUGUGCCCCUGUGACCAAGAAAGCCAAUGGUAUCCUGGGUCGCAUCAAAAAAUGCAAGGCUAGCAGGUCGAGGGAGGUGAUCUUCCUCCUCUACUCUGCCCCAGUGAUUUUACAUCUGGGGUACUGAAUCUAGUUCUUGGCUCCUCAUUUCAAGAAAGACAAGGAAUUACUAGAGAGGGUCCAGCAGAGGGCCACAAAGAUGAUUAGAGGCCUGAAGCAUCUCCCGCACAAGGAAAGGCUGAGAUACCUGAGAACCUUCAGCUUGGAGAAGAGAAGACUGAGAGGGAAACCCAUCACCAGUUAUAAAUAACCUAAGUGUGGAUAUCAAGUAGAUGGGGCCAGGCUCUUCCUAGUGGUGCCCAGCAAAAGAACAAUGGACAACAGGUGAAAACUGGAACACAGAAUGUUCCAAAUGAACAUGAGGAAAAAACUUCUUUAAUUUGAGAGUGACAGAGCACUAGAAGGAAAAGGCUGCCCAGGGGGGUUAUGGAGUCUUCUUCUCUGGAGAUAUUCAUGACUCACCCGGGAUCUUUCCUGUAGAUGUACUAUUGAGAACUUGCUUUAGCAGGGAGGUCAGAGUAGAUGAUCCCCAGAGAUCCUUUCCAACCGCUAUGAUCGGUGCAACACUGAUAACCCAUAGCAUUAGCUUUACUGUCUUCUCCUUACGUGAUUUUUUUUUACAGUGGUAUUCUGUGUCGACUUCAAUAGAUUUAUUCUGGUUUAAUGGCUUGGUAAAUUGAAAUCUGUCUCAUUGUACUUUUUUAUUGCAAGUAAAGAUACUGAAGAAGCAAUGCCUCUUUACAAGUUACUCUAAGUGCUUAUCUACUGUUUAUUACAUAUACCACUAACUGCUUAGCAAUUUAAGUCUGAAGUAUGAUGUUUAUCUGAAAAAUACAGUAGGUAUUUUGUGUAUAUAAAAUAAAUUAUUUUCUCA
rnacentral:lncRNA from 1 species